rnacentral:rRNA from 1 species
GUGAAUGUACCAAGUUUACUUGGAAAUUGUGUGAUUUCACGCUGCUGAAAAAAGUUUCGUAGGAAGAAAAUAUUGCCCGUACCGCAAACCGACACAGGUACUCAAGUGGAGAACACUAAGGUGAGCGAGUGAACUAUUGUUAAGGAACUCUGCAAAAUGAGUCCGUAACUUCGGAAGAAGGACUGCUGGUUUUAUACCAGCCGCAGCAAAUAGGCCCAAACAACUGUUUAUCAAAAACACAGGUUUCUGCAAAAUCGUAAGAUGAAGUAUAGGGGCUGACGCCUGCCCAGUGCUGGAAGGUUAAAAGGAGGACUUAGCUUCGGCGAAGGUCUUAAUUGAAGCCCCAGUGAACGGCGGCCGUAACUAUAACGGUCCUAAGGUAGCGAAAUUCCUUGUCGGGUAAGUUCCGACCCGCAUGAAAGGCGUAAUGAUUUGGGCGCUGUCUCAACAAUAGACUCGGUGAAAUUUAAAUUCCAGUGAAGAUGCUGGGUACCCGCGACAGGACGGAAAGACCCCGUGGAGCUUUACUGUAGCUUGAUAUUGAAUGUUUGUGCUGCAUGUGCAGGAUAGGUAGGAGACUUUGAAGUCGGAACGCUAGUUUCGAUUGAGUCACCCUUGAGAUACUACCUCUGUUGUAUGAACGUUCUAACUCUGAUCAGUUAUCCUGAUCGAAGACAGUGUCUGGCAGGCAGUUUGACUGGGGCGGUCGCCUCCUAAAAGAUAACGGAGGCGCUCAAAGGUUUGCUCAGAAUGGUUGGAAAUCAUUCGUAGCGUGUAAAGGCAUAAGCAAGCUUGACUGUGAGACUGACAAGUCGAGCAGGUACGAAAGUAGGACUUAGUGAUCCGGUGGUUCCGUAUGGAAGGGCCAUCGCUCAACGGACAAAAGCUACCCCGGGGAUAACAGGCUCAUCUCCCCCAAGAGUCCACAUCGACGGGGAGGUUUGGCACCUCGAUGUCGGCUCAUCGCAUCCUGGGGCUGUAGUCGGUCCCAAGGGUUGGGCUGUUCGCCCAUUAAAGCGGUACGCGAGCUGGGUUCAGAACGUCGUGAGACAGUUCGGUCCCUAUCCGUCGUGGGCGCAGGAAAUUUGAGAGGAUCUGUCCUUAGUACGAGAGGACCGGGAUGGACAUACCUCUGGUGUACCAGUUGUUCUGCCAAGAGCACCGCUGGGUAGCUACGUAUGGAUUAGAUAAUCGCUGAAAGCAUCUAAGUGAGAAACUAACCUCGAGAUGAGAUUUCCCAUUCGUCAGAAGUAAGACCCCUGAGAGACGAUCAGGUAGAUAGGCUAGAAGUGGAAGUGUAGUGAUGCAUGGAGCGGACUAGUACUAAUAGGUCGAGGACUUAACCAAG